rnacentral:rRNA from 1 species
UCCGUAGGUGAACCUGCGGAAGGAUCAUUACCGAGUGAGGGCCCUCUGGGUCCAACCUCCCACCCGUGUUUAUUUUACCUUGUUGCUUCGGCGGGCCCGCCUUAACUGGCCGCCGGGGGGCUUACGCCCCCGGGCCCGCGCCCGCCGAAGACACCCUCGAACUCUGUCUGAAGAUUGUAGUCUGAGUGAAAAUAUAAAUUAUUUAAAACUUUCAACAACGGAUCUCUUGGUUCCGGCAUCGAUGAAGAACGCAGCGAAAUGCGAUACGUAAUGUGAAUUGCAAAUUCAGUGAAUCAUCGAGUCUUUGAACGCACAUUGCGCCCCCUGGUAUUCCGGGGGGCAUGCCUGUCCGAGCGUCAUUGCUGCCCUCAAGCACGGCUUGUGUGUUGGGCCCCGUCCUCCGAUCCCGGGGGACGGGCCCGAAAGGCAGCGGCGGCACCGCGUCCGGUCCUCGAGCGUAUGGGGCUUUGUCACCCGCUCUGUAGGCCCGGCCGGCGCUUGCCGAUCAACCCAAAUUUUUAUCCAGGUUGACCUCGGAUCAGGUAGGGAUACCCGCUGAACUUAAGCAUAUCAAUUAGCGGAGGA